UCAAAAGUAAAACGAGUCAAUCAGAAUUUAAAAUAAAAAUAAAGAGAUCCCCACGAACCAAAAUUUUAAGGAAACCUCCAGGAUCGAAUAUUCCCAAAUUUCUCGCUGGCUGAUUGGGAAACAUAAAUGUUAUUUAAGGUGGAUUGCAGUCAACUCAAAUCAUUCCCGAACUAUAAAUCGCCAAUUUCCUCGCCGCUUUCAAUGCUUUUAGCAAAAUGGGAAGAUCCAGAUAUUGUUGUUAGCUAAGCUCUGGUGGGUAUAGAAAUAUGGAACCGUUAUAAACCAUGAGUCGAACAUUCGCAGAAAAAUGGGAAUAUCCGAAUAUAAAUAAAUGUUUCUUAAGGUGGUGGGUAUUCGGAAAUAUGGAACGGUUAUGGAAAUAUGUAAAUUUAAAAAUCGCAUGCAUAAUGUUUUGAAAAAAAAAAAUAUACUUUGGACGACCUAAAAACCCGUUAAGCUUUAUAAUAAAUAGUAAAAGUCGUUACAAUCGGUCUAAUCCAUGAAAUUUCUAAUUUGUUUACAAUUAUAACUAACUGAAACAACUCAAGAUUUUAGUAAAAUUUAAAAAUUAAGUCAUCCACGUUCAUUUGUAAUCUUUUGAAUUACCGGGAUCUAAUUGAAAAAAAGACAAGGAUUUCUUGCCUUUCGUAAUAUUUUAUUCUUAACAACUGUGAAAUUAUUUAUAGUUACCUAAUUUACGCCGAAAGGAAGUGAAUUUCGGCAAUCGUAUAAAAUUUAAACUGUGAUUAAAUCCAAAAAGGCUAAAUCAAUAUUAAAAAUGCCUUAUAAUCGGGUCAGACGGUAAAUUCUUAAAUUUCCUUUUUUUUGGCAAAUUGUAACAGUUCCAAAUUGGUUUUCGGAAAUCGUACGAAAUUCAAACAAAGUGAAGAUUUUUCUAAUUAUUACUUUCACUACAUUAAUUUCAAACAAAUUUAAUCCCUAAAACUGAUAACCGUGAUUUAACCUAAAGAUGAUAUAAUAUAAUAACUACAAACUAGAUGGAAAUGGAUUUCGAGUGGUGUGUAAAACUAAAUUGGCGGUUCGGCUUCUGAUAAGUAAAGUAUGGAUGAUGAUGAAGAAAUAAAUUCUCUCGAUGGACUUAAACCGCAUGUAAAAUGAAUACAACUCUAUAAAACAAAUAUAGAUAGGUAUGUAGAUGAUAUGACAAUGAAUUGUUGCGGUUAGGUUAAAUGCGGAAACGGAAAGGGGUGAGCAGAGCUCGGCUCCCUCUUGUUCUUAUCCUUCCACCCACCCAACCAACCAACUCAAACCCACUCCAUCAAACGUGCUCAGGCUGACGCUUAGAGAGUGUCUUUGUGUACGUCUCUCUGUGUGUGUGUGUGUGUGUGGUUAUGCAUAACGGUUCAUUGCCUGGCUACUCCGUCUAAUCACUGUCAAAUGCAGGCGACGUUUACGCAUUCAAAAGCGAGACAAAAGGGCCAUUACCGUGCAGAAGCAUGAGAGUUGGAGUCGGAGAUGAAUGAAAGCCAGUGGACAGUGGGAGGAUAUACAUAUAUAUGUAUGUAUAUGUUAAAGGCUGGAAUCGGUAGCUGGGGCCCAUUCGACUGCUGUUAAUUCGAUUAAUUACAACAAUCAGCGGCAUGUUUCAUGUGGCAGCGACAGGGCCCAAGGCCCAGUGGCAGAAGGAGGAAGCCAGGCAGUCAGUCAGACAGGCACGCGGAUAGAGAAGCUUAACAAAUUGCCCAAAUGCUAAUGAUGCCUCUGAAGCUGCCGCCCAGUUCCUCACAAUCGAUGCCUAAUGACAAUGAUAGAUUUGCCCAAUAGCUGUCAUGUUUAGCCAAAAGAGUGGAACUUGCCGAAGAAAAAACAAAGGCACAAGAGAAAAAGGGAAAGAACAAACACAGAGCACAAAAACAAGGCGAAACAUAAUUGGAUAUAACAUUUAUACGCAAUCAUCGACAGAUUGCAAAACGAUUAACGACAACCCUCGUCGGUUUCCGGAUCCGGAUCCGGGUUUGGGUCUGAAUUCUCUUCUUGAUAAACUACAACCAGAACAAAUGCUGUUAUAAUCGACUGAACCAACUGCAUCUAUCAGUUUUGAUAAAAUUAUAGCACAUUUUUCCGAUAUAU